CCCCUCCGCCCCGACCGCAGCUCAUCUGUAUGGGGAGCGGCAUGUACAGCCUGGGAACCGGGAGGGAGGAAGGGACCCCCCCCCUGUACGGACUGCAGUGCAACGGGGAGGGAAGGGUUAAGGAUGCACGGUGUCUGGAGGAGCUCAGCACCAUGGACAGAUGCCAAAUAAUAUGUAAGAAUUUGGCCCAACAUCCCCACGUCUAGUGUCAGCUCCAACAUCGACCAUAAGGGUCACAUUCUCAGUAUUUCCAUAGAAGACUGAACCCCCGUUGAUUGCUGAGCAUCUGAAGGACACUUUGUAACGAGCCUAUUGUCACAUGAUCCUUCUAUAUGGGCAGGACAUCACCAGGACUAAGGAAUGAGGGAUCUGAGUGAUUUUUCCAACUCUGGGC